CGGUAAUACAGAGGGUGCGAGCGUUAAUCGGAAUUACUGGGCGUAAAGCGCACGUAGGCGGCUUGGCAUGUCGGGUGUGAAAUCCCCGGGCUCAACCUGGGAACUGCAUCCGAAACUGCCUUGCUAGAGUAUGGGAGAGGGAAGUGGAAUUUCCGGUGUAGCGGUGAAAUGCGUAGAUAUCGGAAGGAACAUCAGUGGCGAAGGCGACUUCCUGGACCAAUACUGACGCUCAGGUGCGAAAGCGUGGGGAGCAAACAGGAUUAGAUACCCUGGUAGUCCACGCCCUAAACGAUGACAACUGGAUGUCGGGAGGGUAUGCCUUCCGGUGUCGUAGCUAACGCGUUAAGUUGUCCGCCUGGGAAGUACGGCCGCAAGGUUGAA
rnacentral:rRNA from 1 species